CCUACGGGAGGCAGCAGUAGGGAAUCUUUCACAAUGGGCGAAAGCCUGAUGGAGCAACGCCGCGUGCAGGAUGAAGGCCUUCGGGUUGUAAACUGCUUUUAUAAGCGAGAAAUAUGAUGGUAACUUAUGAAUAAGGAUCGGCUAACUACGUGCCAGCAGCCGCGGUCAUACGUAGGAUCCGAGCAUUAUCCGGAGUGACUGGGUGUAAAGAGUUGCGUAGGUGGCAUAAUAAGUAGCUAGUGAAAUCUGGUGGCUCAACCAUUCAGACUAUUAGCUAAACUGUUAAGCUCGAGACCGUUAGUGGUAACUGGAAUUUCUAGUGUAGGAGUGAAAUCCGUAGAUAUUAGAAGGAACACCAAUAGCGUAGGCAGGUUGCUGGGACGGUUCUGACACUAAGGCACGAAAGCGUAGGGAGCAAACGGGAUUAGAUACCCCUGUAGUC
rnacentral:rRNA from 1 species